GGUGAACGCUGGCGGCGUGCCUAAUACAUGCGAGUCGAGCGAACGGACGAGAAGCUUGCUUCUCUGAUGUUAGCGGCGGACGGGUGAGUAACACGUGGAUAACCUACCUAUAAGACUGGGAUAACUUCGGGAAACCGGAGCUAAUACCGGAUGAUAUUUUGAACCGCAUGGUUCAAUAGUGAAAGACGGUCUUGCUGUCACUUAUAGAUGGAUCCGCGCUGCAUUAGCUAGUUGGUAAGGUAACGGCUUACCAAGGCAACGAUGCAUAGCCGACCUGAGAGGGUGAUCGGCCACACUGGAACUGAGACACGGUCCAGACUCCUACGGGAGGCAGCAGUAGGGAAUCUUCCGCAAUGGGCGAAAGCCUGACGGAGCAACGCCGCGUGAGUGAUGAAGGUCUUCGGAUCGUAAAACUCUGUUAUUAGGGAAGAACAUAUGUGUAAGUAACUGUGCACAUCUUGACGGUACCUAAUCAGAAAGCCACGGCUAACUACGUG
rnacentral:rRNA from 1 species